rnacentral:rRNA from 1 species
UUAAGUUGGGCACUCUAAGUUGACUGCCGGUGACAAACCGGAGGAAGGUGGGGAUGACGUCAAAUCAUCAUGCCCCUUAUGAUUUGGGCUACACACGUGCUACAAUGGACAAUACAAAGGGCAGCGAAACCGUGAGGUCAAGCAAAUCCCAUAAAGUUGUUCUCAGUUCGGAUUGUAGUCUGCAACUCGACUACAUGAAGCUGGAAUCGCUAGUAAUCGUAGAUCAGCAUGCUACGGUGAAUACGUUCCCGGGUCUUGUACACAC